GCCUUCCUACGGGAGGCAGCAGUGAGGAAUAUUGGUCAAUGGCCGGGAGGCUGAACCAGCCAAGUCGCGUGAGGGAAGACGGCCCUACGGGUUGUAAACCUCUUUUGUCAGGGAGCAAGGUGCAGGUCGGGACCUGCUGUGAGAGUACCUGAAGAAAAAGCAUCGGCUAACUCCGUGCCAGCAGCCGCGGUAAUACGGAGGAUGCGAGCGUUAUCCGGAUUUAUCGGGUUUAAAGGGUGCGUAGGCGGGCUGUUAAGUCAGCGGUAAAAGCCCGGGGCUCAACCCCGGCGAGCCGUUGAAACUGG
rnacentral:rRNA from 1 species